UCAGCCCCUCCCUCGCACGGUCCUCUCCCGCAGCCGCGGACUUGGCCAUGCCGCCGCCGAGCUUCCCAGUAGUCCCCGCCGCCGAGCUUUUACUCCUCCGCCGCUGCUGUAGGUGGGCUCAGCCGCCGCCCCCACGAGCCGGAGUCCUGGCAGUGCGGCCUCCGCUGCUGUCUCCUGCUUGCAGCAGGCCGCCGUCGCCACUAGCCCCUGCAGCUCCCACCGGCCGCCGCCGCAGCUCCCGCACGACGCCGAGGAAGGGGACGGGGAGGUGGCGUGCCUUGCCGCCACCUGGGCCCCUCGUACCGACGCUCUGUCCGAUUCAGAUCAGGAGGAUGAAGAAACUGACACGCGGGACCCAUGUGGAAGUGAGGUGAGAGGCUGGUGGGCCAACCUGGGCUUAGUUGGGCUGGUUGGAUAUCUGCUGGGCUAGGGGGUAGAAAGAGUUGGGCUGGCCUUUUAGAAUUGUGGAGUGGAGCCACAGAAUACCCAAAUAGAAUGGAUUAUAAGUGGUGGAGUGGAGUGAAGUUGUUGAGUAGAGUGACUGUUUUGGGAGUGGAGUAUUCCGAAACAGGCCUUUAAUUUCGAGAGGCUCCCCUCUCCCUAAAAAAAGAGCUGCCUUGGCAGCCACCUUCCUAAUUCUUUUCGUCUUCCUCCAUCAGUUUAAUCUUUCUGAACUCGCAUUUUGGUGGUACUCCCCUUAAUUGGAGGUUCUUUACUUUCUUGUGAUCC